rnacentral:rRNA from 1 species
AUUGAACGCUGGCGGCAGGCCUAACACAUGCAAGUCGAGCGGAUGAAGGGAGCUUGCUCCUGGAUUCAGCGGCGGACGGGUGAGUAAUGCCUAGGAAUCUGCCUGGUAGUGGGGGAUAACGUCCGGAAACGGGCGCUAAUACCGCAUACGCUCUGAGGGAGAAAGUGGGGGAUCUUCGGACCUCACGCUAUCAGAUGAGCCUAGGUCGGAUUAGCUAGUUGGUGGGGUAAAGGCCUACCAAGGCGACGAUCCGUAACUGGUCUGAGAGGAUGAUCAGUCACACUGGAACUGGAACACGGUCCGGCCUCCUACGGGAGGAGGCGGUGGGAAAUAUUGGACAAUGAGCGAAGGCCUGAUCCAGACAGGCCGCGUGUGUGAAGAAGGUCUUCGGAUGGUAAAGCACUUUGAGUUGGGAGGAAGAGCAGUAAGUUAAUACCUUGCUGUUUUGACGUUACCAACAGAAUAAGCCCCGGCUAACUUCGUG